CUCUCUCUUAUCUCACCUUUCACUUAUCACUUUCUGCACAUAUACGCUGAGUAAAAUAAGUUUUGAACACGUCACCAAAUUUACAUGAAAUUCACACUCGAUGUAGGUAACCACCCAUCCAGUCCACACAUGCAAAGAAAUCAAACCAUUGAUAUCCAUAAAUUAAGCUAUAUGUAAUAAUAAGAGGAAAAGUAUUGAACAUAUAGAACGGAAGGUGCAAAAAGGCAUGGAAGUCAUGCCACCAGCUGAAAUCUAUCAGCAAUUACAAAGCAAUCCUGCCCCCUAGUGCAAAUUAAUGUCAGCUGGUUCUAUUCUAACUGACAGCCUAUAAAAAGUUGUCUCAUUAACAAGGUGUCACACAAGAAACAUCUCAUGAUGGAUAAAACCAAUCCAUCAGAAUUACUAAACUUCUGCUUUUUAAAGGAGUCAGUGGAGUCUAGACAGCGUAAAGACAACGCCAGGGAGUUCCACAGCCUUGGUCCUAGUGCCUGAAAAGCCCGAUCCCCAUGUGUUUUAAACCUAGUAUGUUUCAGAUCCAACAUAACCAGAACGGUUAUGUUGGAUCUGAAGGUUCCAGUGAGCACUGUUGGGGCAGGAGAGAACAUAAUUUCACCAUAAACCGGCCAGGACCAGCUGCUCCCCGCCAGUUUUCAAACAGGGGAGUGAAAAGAAUUAUCAGAAGAGUUGUCCAAAAGCAAAGGAGCACUUGCGAAGAGCUACAAAAAGACGUGGAAUCAGCUCAUCUGCCAUGGCCUGUAUGCACGCUCACCAUACAAGACUCCAUUGCUGAAGAAAAAGCAUGCUAAAGCACGUUUAAAGUUUGCUGAACAACAUUUAGACAAGAAAUACUGGCAGAAUAUACUCUGGUCAGUAGAGACCAAAACUGAACUGAUGCCUUAAUACACGCCAUGUCUGGAGGUCAAAAGGCACUGCAUACCACCCCAAAAACAAUAUACCAGCAGUGAAGUCUGGAGUUGGGAACAUCACAGUAUGGGGCUGUUUUUCGUCAUGUGGCACUGUAAUGUUUCAUAUAAAUGGAGGAAGAUGAAUGGAAAAAUGUUCUGCUAGCAUCUACCAGGAUAUUGAAGAUGAAAUGAGGACCUUUCAGCAAGACGAUGAUCCCAAACACAAAGCCAAAGAAGCUGCUAGAAUGACACAGCCAAUCACCUGACCUGAAUCUAAUUGAAAAUCUAUAGAUAUAAUUAAAGUUUAGAGUUCAUAGCAGGGCUCACA